UCUGGUAGUUAUGGCGAUCAUGUCACACCCGUUCCCAUCCCGAUCACGUUAGUUUAGCUUCUCUGCGCCAAUGGUAGUUGGGGGCUUCCCCCUGCGAGAGUAGGUCGCUGCCGGGC
rnacentral:rRNA from 1 species